UACGUAGGGGGCAAGCGUUGUCCGGAUUCAUUGGGCGUAAAGAGCGUGUAGGCGGCCAGGUAGGUCGGUUGUGAAAACUGGAGGCUCAACCUUCAGAGGUCGACCGAAACCAUCUGGCUAGAGUCCGGGAGAGGAGAGUGGAAUUCCUGGCGUAGCGGUGAAAUGCGCAGAUAUCAGGAAGAACACCCGUGGCGAAAGCGGCUCUCUGGAACGGUACUGACGCUGAGACGCGAAAGCGUGGGGAGCGAACAGG
rnacentral:rRNA from 1 species